CCUACGGGUGACUGCAGUGGGGAAUAUUGCACAAUGGGGGAAACCCUGAUGCAGCGACGCCGCGUGAGUGAAGACGUAUUUAGGUAUGUAAAGCUCUAUCUGCAGGGAAGAAAAUGACGCUACCUGACUAAGAAUCCACGGCUAACUACGUGCCAGCAGCCGCGGUAAUAUGGAGGGGGCAGGCGUUAUCCGGAUUUACGGGGUGUAAAGGGAGCGUAGACGGCCAGACAAGGCAGAAGGGAAAGCCCAGGGCUCAACCCUGAGAGUGCUGUUGAAACUGCCGGGCUGGAGUGCAGGAGAGGUAAGCGGAAUUCCUAGUGUAGCGGUGAAAUGCGUAGAUAUUAGGAGGAACACCAGUGGCGAAGGCGGCGUACUGGACUGUAACUGACGUUGAGGCUCGAAAGCGUGGGGAGCAAACAGGAUUAGAUACCCCAGUAGUC
rnacentral:rRNA from 1 species